GGGUCAACGGCUGACAAAUUGUGCGCCUCGACAUGGCCAUGCCUUUGCAGAUUUCCCCUCCGUGAAGAAUUCGCGAACAUCCUAGACCACCGAGAUCCGGUUCCUCUGGCGGUUCUCUCGUGGAAUUGUGCGACAAGCGUUGAGCCGGCUGACUCAAACGUUGGGUCCGGAUGCGGGCAGCGAGUUGGCGGCGUUAGCUAGGUGUGGGAAGAGGGCGGCGGGCGGCGACGCCGCGAGGCGUCUCCGACGAGGUCCGAACAGUUGACAGAGGGUGAAUCCGGAGGCGCCAGGAUGAACAAUAAGUUGCGGUUGCGUCUAGGGAGCGUGCUGCCAGACAGAACCCAUUUCCUUCAAGAAUGAGUGCCCUUGAGUAGUCAAUUCACAAAUUGGCUUUGGGAUAAGAUAUGGAAAAAGCAGAUUGAACGCAGAGAGGACCAAAUCAAUGCAGGAGAUUGUCUGCAUCUGCUCGGUAAAUUCUUAAAGCCGCUUGUUCAAGUAUAUGAACUCAAAAAGAAUAGUUGAAUGUGUCACUAACAAAGCGUUUCUACUUUUUUUGGAAAACAAGGAAGCCAGAGGCUGAGAAUAGCAGGUUGUGUAGAUGCGAGUGACCUGCUUUGAGGAUGUACAUUUCUGAAAACCGUGUUUUGCUGUCACAGUUCAUGGAUGUACUUCACUUAGAGGAGAUUCCUGUUAAGCAUAUUGUCAAGCGAUGGACCAAGGACGUGAAGAACAUUCAGUUAACUUGUCUUUCACGUGCAGACAUUCGACGCUAUAUAUGAAAGCUAUGGAUGUCAUGAUGAUGGGGGAUGCGAGUGCAGAGUCAUUCGAGCACAUGUUAGCUAGUCUGAAUGAUUGUUGGUUACUAGUGCACCGUUAGCAGAGAAGAGAGAUUGUUUGGCUUUUGAGGACCGAUUGGCAAAGGUCUUGCAGUCCCGGAUAAGCAGAGGGGUUGGAAGGCCGACAGAUACUGGAGAAGGCACCUUACGAGGGUCUGAGCAAAUGGACAAAGUUCUGCAGCUUCUGCCGGCGCGAGGGACACAAGUGAACAACCUGCCCUGGGAUGCACCGAAGAAGCCGUGCAAACCCUGGAAAAUGCAAGAACUAUGGUAUGGUAGGCCAUCACUGGAACAUAUGUACCAGGCCACUGGGAAUUGCUGAAAAAAUGGGAUGUGAUAUUUAAGUUUGUACUCUGUUCUUAGUUGCUGAAGAUUUUCUAGUGUGUUCUAGU